rnacentral:rRNA from 1 species
GAUGAACGCUGGCGGCGUGCUUAACACAUGCAAGUCGAACGAAGCAUUUGCGACAGAUUUUUUUCGGAUGGAAGUGGUUUUUGACUGAUUGGCGGACGGUUGAGUAACGCGUGGGUAACCUGCUUUGUACUGGGGGUUAGAGGUGGGAAACGGUUGGAAAAACCGCAUAAGCGCACAAUGUGGAUGGAAUGGGGGGGAAAAACUCCGGGGGAAUAAGAUGGACCCGCGUCUGAUUAGCUAGUUGGUGAGAUAACAGCCCACCAAGGCGACGAUCAGUAGCCGACCUGAGAGGGUGACCGGCCACAUUGGGACUGAGACACGGCCCAGACUCCUACGGGAGGCAGCAGUGGGGAAUAUUGCACAAUGGAGGAAACUCUGAUGCAGCGACGCCGCGUGAGUGAAGAAGUAAUUCGUUAUGUAAAGCUCUAUCAGCAGGGAAGAUAGUGACGGUACCUGACGAAGAAGCUCCGGCUAAAUACGUG